rnacentral:rRNA from 1 species
AUGCCCGGGGGGAAACCCAAAGCGCCCUGCAGGGGAUCCAAGAGGCGAGAAAGAUCGCGGCGGGUAAGGCUUUUUCCAUGUAAAGCAAGUAUUUUAGGGAAAAUUAUGUUUCUAAUUUUCAAUUCAGAUUUCUCAGGGGUAUUUGCCGAGCUGCCCCGCAGCAUAUCAGAUGCCGCCCAAUUCUACCGAGUCGAAGGAAGGAACACUGCGGAUAAGCUCUUCUGGUCGCAGUAUUUGGCACCGAAUUAUCCGGUGCCUUUUGCCGAUCAACUGAAACAGCUGAUCGAACUGCAUAAGGCGGUGGAACUAGCCAUGAAGGAUUUGGUUAUCCGGCUAUGGCCUGCCGAGCCGAUUCCAAGCAGCUACUUUGGGCUCGUGAAGCGGCUUGUGAGCGCUUGCCCUCGACUUGACAUCAUCAAGCGGUCGGUCUGCAUAGAAGGUGCGCGAAUGGCCUUCGCCCGUGCAAAACUGCACUGGGGGAAGAUGGAUGCUGAGAAGCUGAUGGCCGAAGGGCCGCCAGAGGGGAAGGAGCACCGCAAGCCCGAAUUAUAUUAUGAAAGUGUCCUAAAAGGAUCCUACCUUGCAGCGGAGCUAUGCACCAAGGACAUUAUAUUUCCAUGA